UUUAAAGUGCUAGAUUGACAACCUAUUUAUUCACAGAACAGGCACAGCAUGGGCAACAGCAGUUCAAGUGUCUCACACUUUCCUAGCAAUGUCUCUGCACAGACCUGCUGAGACAGCUGCUGGAGGUGAAACAUUAAUGCAGUCUCCCUUCCCUUUCAGUCUCCGACUUGC
ensembl:misc_RNA